CCUACGGGAGGCAGCAGUGGGGAAUAUUGGUCAAUGGGCGCAAGCCUGACCCAGCAACGCCGCGUGAAGGAAGAAUGCUUUCGGGUUUUAAACUUCUUUUCUUAGGGACGAAGAACGUGACGGUACCUCCGUAAUAAGCCACCUCUAACUACGUGCCACCAGCUGCGGUAAUACGUAGGUGGCAAGCGUUAUCCGGAUUUAUUGGGUGUAAAGGUCGUGUAGGCGGGAAAGCAAGUCAGAUGUGAAAACGCAGGGCUCAACCCUGAGACUGCAUUUGACACUGUUUUUCUUGAGUGCUGGAGAGGCAGGCGGAAUUCCGGGUGUAGCGGUGAAAUGCGUAGAUAUACGGAGGAACACCAGUGGCGAAGGCGGAUUGCUGGACAGUAACUGACGCUGAGGCGCGAAAGCGUGGGGAGCAAACAGGAUUAGAUACCCGAGUAGUC
rnacentral:rRNA from 1 species